UACGUAGGGUGCAGGCGUUAAUCGGAAUUACUGGGCGUAAAGCGUGCGCAGGCGGCUCCUUAAGUCAGAUGUGAAAUCCCCCGGGCUUAACCUGGGAACUGCGUUUGAAACUGGGGAGCUCGAGUGUGGAAGAGGGGGGGUGGAAUUCCAGGUGUAGCAGUGAAAUGCGUAGAGAUGUGGAGGAACACCGAUGGCGAAGGCAGCCUUCUGGGCCGAUACUGACGC
rnacentral:rRNA from 1 species